rnacentral:lncRNA from 1 species
UUGACGACUGCGGCCAAUCUAUCUGGGUUUCAUUACUCAAACAAUUCCGGGUAACUAACUCGUUCUUGAACUUGUAUAAAAUAUCUUUAAACUUGUGACAAUUUGAUUUGCGCUAAGAUUUAGUAAAGCCUAUUUAAGACUAACUAUUGCUUUUCUACCUAUCAUACAUAUAUAUGCCAGGUCGGAGGCAGAUCUAAUUAAGAAAGUUGUUGAUGAGAUUUGGACCAAAUUGGUUUGUGAAUCAUCAAGCAAUUUGGAGGGCCUGGUUGGAAUCGAAAGCCAUGUCAAGCAAAUAGAAUCACUGUUAGACAUUGAUUCACAGGACGCUUGCAUCACUAUAGGAAUUUGGGGGAUGGGUGGUAUUGGCAAGACCACCCUUUCUGAAACUGUAUUUGACAAACUCUCU